rnacentral:snoRNA from 1 species
AAAGUUCAGUGAUGAAGCCUGGAAUGAACACAAGGCACAGUGGCACAUUGGACUGUGGGGCCGUUCCUUGUUGCCUUCCUUCUGGGAGAAUA